rnacentral:lncRNA from 1 species
UAUGGUGUGAUUAUUACUGGGUUGUGUGUUUUCUUCCAGUGAUUUUUGAAAUUUCUAGUCUCUGACUAUUCACAGAUCUCUGUCAAAAACAGAACCAAAUCAAAGUCGUAAAGAAAGAAAUAAUACUUGAAAUCAGUGUCAUUUAUUUCUCAAAGGUACGAUACGAUAUCGGUAGUGAGAGAAAUUAAAUUUAAAAAAGUGUUAUUUUUCUCACUAAGGAAACAAAAGAAAUGAAAUGAUAUACGAUACGAUACGAAAUUACACAAAUCAAGGUAAUUUCGUUAAUGACAGGCGUGAAAUAAAUAAUACUUGGAAUUAUAUAAUCGACGAAAGAGAAACAACAAAAUUUAUAUGAACAGUUAAAUCAAAGCGUCGGUGAUUUGAAAAAGUAUAAUUUUGCUCAUCCACAAAAAAAUUGUAGAGAAAGAAACAAUACUUGAAAAUCAGUGUUAUUUAGGUCUCAAAGGUGUGAUACGACAUGAAACGAAGGUGGCGAUACGGCAUGACAUGAUAAGAUAUGAUACGUUACGUUACCAUACGAUACAAAACGAUAACGGUGGUGAGAACAAUUAUAUAUUUUUUUUAAGUGUUAUUUUUCUCAGCCACAAAAAAAAACGAAACGAUACUAAAGGAAACGAAAUAGAAACAAAAUGAUUUACGAUACGCUACGAAGUGAUACGAAUUUCAAUUUUUUUUCAGUUUCAAAAAAAGUUAGCCACGAAAUGAUUUAUGAUAAAAAAAUACUAGAAAUCAUGCAACCAACAAAUGAAAGAAAUGCGACAACACAAGUAAACUACAGUAAAUUUCAACAAAGCAGCGGUGAGACAAAGUAUAUUUGAAAAGGUGUUUUCAAAACAAAACACAAUCGCGGAUUUUAUUGGAAGUAUAGGCGAUAGUGACAAGAAAAACCAAUGUCAUGCUGCAGGUUUAUCAUCAAGUGCAUGUGACACCAUCUCUCUUUGUGAUUGGUUUCAUUAUUGAAAUGAUCAGCUUUCUGCCUCCAUUCUUGACUGCAUCUCAAGACAUUAUGUCAGGUGUCGCCUUUACUAGAUUUAUUCCAGCCAUGUCUUAUAGCUUUUAAUUAAACAGUAAGUCCGAUCUUUAAAUGCAUCGGCAGGGAUUUCUGUGGCUUUAUGUAUCUUACUAAUUUUUUUUCCAGCCGCAUUUUGAUUUUUCACCAGUAAGUCCGAUAUUCAAUGAUCGGCAGUAACACUUCUGAUAUCUGUCUCCUUCAGAAUUUAUAAUUUUGUUGAUAAGCAUCAUGGCACUAUGCCAUCUUCAAAAGUAAUUUUUAGUCUUGUCUUGAAUUUAAAAAAAAAUUGUAAGUCCGAUCUUCAACAAUCGGCAGGGAUGCACUCGUUGCAUAAUGUCACCUUUGGUUAAAUUGUUGCCUUGUCUUCGAUUUAGAGUGAGUCCAGUCUGCAACAAGUAGCAGACCGUGUUCAACAUUAUUGCCUUCAGUAGUCGUAUUUGUAUUAUAGCAUUAAUGCAUUUAUCAAAGUAAGCCCUAUCGAUUUGCAGCUUUCUUUAACACACUCGUUUCUUUUUUUCUCCUCAAAAUAUCUAUUUUGUUGCCUGGGAUUAAAAUAAGUAAGUCUUUUCUAACCAUCUGUAGAGAUACAAUGUGACCUAGCUAGGCUGGGUUGAGUUUUCUUUCUCCCUGUAGCUCAUUCAGCCAAGAGAAUAUGAACAUCUACAAGUGUGAGACUGACCAGAUGAGGAGAGGCUGCUUUGUCAGGAUGGAAACGAAUCCCUCCAAGGAACCGGAAGCAGGGAGGACGACAGAUGGAUGAACUGAUGACUCUGCUUGCAGGGCUACCCAUUACUGCUUUAUAAGAAGAUGGAAACUAGAACGCCUGGAUGAGAGUGGCUGGAUGAAGAAGCUUCAGGUUGAGGAUGACCUUGCCCUCCCCACCCCACUUCAGCUGGAACUAAGGAGCCGGAAGCAGGGAGGAGGACCAACAGAUGAACGGAUGACCUGCUUGUCGGGCUCUCCAUUUCUGAUUUUUGUAAAAAUGGAGCCUGUUAUACAUGGAUGGCAGUGCCUGGAUGAGGAAGCUUCUGGUUGAGGAUGACCUCUGCCCUUCCCACCCCACUUCAGCUGGAACUGAGGAGCCGGAAGCAGGGAGGAGGACCAACGGAUGACCUGCUUGUCGGGCUUCCCAUUUCUAAUUUUUGAAAAAAUAGGGCCUUUUAUAUGUGGAUGACAGUGGCUGGAUGAAGAAGUUUCUGGUUGAGGAUGACUUUGCCCACCCCACCCCACUUCGGCUGGAACUAAGGAGAUGGAAGCAGGGAGGAGGACCAACAGAUGAGUGUUGUCUCUGCUUAUUGAACUUGCCGUUUGAGAAUUUGUGAGGUGGAUUUACUAAAAAAAACCAAUGAUUUAACAAUUUGAUGUAAAAAGGAGGGUAAUUCCUGGAGCAUUGCCUUAACAGCUACAAUCCUGAAACAACACUGUACACAUUUUUUUUUAAAGACUCAUGGACAAGGAAGCACAACUUACACAAGGAAAUAUUUAAAAAAUGACAGUCUUUUUACUGUGUUGGACAACCAAACAGGAAUUGUUACUGAUGUGACCUAGCUUGCCUAGGCCGAGAAGUGUUUUUUUUUAUUUUACAGAAUGGAGAUUGUCACAGGGAAAAUCUCAAGCCAUUACUUCAGGAGAAUGACCGAUGUCUGGGAAUCGGAAGCAGAGACCAACAGAUGACUGAUGAGCCUGCUUGCUGACCAUGUCAUUUCUGAUACAUGAAAGGAUGAUGACCACCAAGCCUAGAUGAGACUGGCUAGAUGAGCAAGAGGAUGUUCCAUCCUGUCAAGGACACCACUCCAUCACUGAAGAAACGGAAGA